UGCGUACCUUUUGUAUAAUGGGUCAGCGACUUAUAUUCUGUAGCAAGGUUAACCGUAUAGGGGAGCCGUAGGGAAACCGAGUCUUAACCGGGCGUUAAGUUGCAGGGUAUAGACCCGAAACCCGGUGAUCUAGCCAUGGGCAGGUUGAAGGUUGGGUAACACUAACUGGAGGACCGAACCGACUAAUGUUGAAAAAUUAGCGGAUGACCUGUGGCUGGGGGUGAAAGGCCAAUCAAACCGGGAGAUAGCUGGUUCUCCCCGAAAGCUAUUUAGGUAGCGCCUCGUGAAUUCAUCUCCGGGGGUAGAGCACUGUUUCGGCUAGGGGGCCAUCCCGGCUUACCAACCCGAUGCAAACUGCGAAUACCGGAGAAUGUUAUCACGGGAGACACACGGCGGGUGCUAACGUCCGUCGUGAAGAGGGAAACAACCCAGACCGCCAGCUAAGGUCCCAAAGUCAUGGUUAAGUGGGAAACGAUGUGGGAAGGCCCAGACAGCCAGGAUGUUGGCUUAGAAGCAGCCAUCAUUUAAAGAAAGCGUAAUAGCUCACUGGUCGAGUCGGCCUGCGCGGAAGAUGUAACGGGGCUAAACCAUGCACCGAAGCUGCGGCAGCGAACGUAUCACCCAAGACAACUUUACGGAGUUGACGAUUGACGGAGCGAAGCGACGUCAAAGCGUUCAUUAAAGUCGAGUUGGCUUAGGGAUACGUUCGUUGGGUAGGGGAGCGUUCUGUAAGCCUGUGAAGGUGUGUCGUGAGGCAUGCUGGAGGUAUCAGAAGUGCGAAUGCUGACAUAAGUAACGAUAAAGCGGGUGAAAAGCCCGCUCGCCGGAAGACCAAGGGUUCCUGUCCAACGUUAAUCGGGGCAGGGUGAGUCGACCCCUAAGGCGAGGCCGAAAGGCGUAGUCGAUGGGAAACGGGUUAAUAUUCCCGUACUUGGUGUUACUGCGAAGGGGGGACGGAGAAGGCUAUGUUGGCCGGGCGACGGUUGUCCCGGUUUAAGCGUGUAGGUGUGUGUUCCAGGUAAAUCCGGUUCACUUUAACACUGAGGCGUGACGACGAGGCACUACGGUGCUGAAGCAACAAAUGCCCUGCUUCCAGGAAAAGCCUCUAAGCAUCAGGUAACACGAAAUCGUACCCCAAACCGACACAGGUGGUCAGGUAGAGAAUACCAAGGCGCUUGAGAGAACUCGGGUGAAGGAACUAGGCAAAAUGGUGCCGUAACUUCGGGAGAAGGCACGCUGACACGUAGGUGAAGUGAUUUACUCAUGGAGCUGAAGUCAGUCGAAGAUACCAGCUGGCUGCAACUGUUUAUUAAAAACACAGCACUGUGCAAACACGAAAGUGGACGUAUACGGUGUGACGCCUGCCCGGUGCCGGAA
rnacentral:rRNA from 1 species